UCGAGAAUCUUCCGCAAUGGGCGAAAGCCUGACGGAGCGAUGCCGCGUGAGGGAUGAAGGCCUUCGGGUUGUAAACCUCUGUCGCCCGGGACGAAACAAAUGACGGUACCGGGAGAGGAAGCUACGGCUAACUACGUGCCAGCAGCCGCGGUAAUACGUAGGUAGCGAGCGUUAUUCGGAUUCACUGGGCGUAAAGGGUCCGCAGGAGGCCUGUCAAGUCGGAUGUGAAAGCCCAGGGCUCAACCCUGGAAUGGCAUCCGAAACUGCCGGGCUAGAGUGCAUGAGGGGUAGACGGAAUUCCUGGUGUAGCGGUGGAAUGCGUAGAUAUCAGGAGGAACACCGAUGGCGAAGGCGGUCUACUGGCAUGCAACUGACUCUCAGGGACGAAAGCGUGGGGAGCAAACA
rnacentral:rRNA from 1 species